UACGAGGGGGGCAAGCGUUGUUCGGAAUUACUGGGCGUAAAGAGCUCGUAGGUGGUUUGUCGCGUUGUUCGUGAAAACUCACAGCUUAACUGUGGGCGUGCGGGCGAUACGGGCAGACUUGAGUACUGCAGGGGAGACUGGAAUUCCUGGUGUAGCGGUGGAAUGCGCAGAUAUCAGGAGGAACACCGGUGGCGAAGGCGGGUCUCUGGGCAGUAACUGACGCUGAGGAGCGAAAGCGUGGGGAGCGAACAGG
rnacentral:rRNA from 1 species